AUAUAUUAGCAUAAAGACUCGUCUUUAGCGCUAAUUGUUAAAUAUGCUAGUCCUUUCAUGAUUAUGUGAUAGGUGGUGCAUGGCCGUUCUUAGUUCGUGGAGUGAUCUGUCUGCUUAAUUGCGUUUCACUAAGGGCCCAUAAAUUCAAGGUAUGUUAGCAAAUGCUGCUCUAUUGACCCCUAAUAGGCUUAACUGUCUUUAGCGCGUGUCUCUACGAGUUCUUUAAAGCACUGCGCAUGCUGUUGGGUCCUGAAAGCAACGAACGUGACCGCAACGUCUUGUUGCCUCUCUAUAAUAUCUUCUUAUUUUUAAUAAGAGUAUUUACCUGAGGCUAUUUUAAAACUAGACGGACCGCUGUUUCUUUCUUAAACCAGAGGAAGGUUGCGGCAAUAACAGGUCUGUGAUGCCCUUAGAUGUUCCGGGCUGCACACGUGCUACAAUGAUCAGUACAGUGAGCAUCUCAAUUUUAUAACACCGUAUUAAGCGCUUGGGUCGUAAUUGUUAGGCCUUUUGGGUUUUUUCAAUUGCGUUUCUCCAAUGCGCACGGUAAAGCCUGCUUCGAGAGUAAGUGGGUAAUCCAUUGGAAGUAAUGAUUUCCUUAUUUUUAUAAACAGCACACCAAUAUACGGCAUUCAUUCCCGAGACGGCUUAGUUCCGACUUUGUGCGAAUGUAAUGUAUUCUUAUCCGUAUGUGCGAUUGUCAAUUCAUGGUGGGGACAGACCAUUGUUAAUUGUUGGUCUCGGUCUUAACUAGGA
rnacentral:rRNA from 1 species